rnacentral:miRNA from 1 species
GAGUACUCCCAUCAUUACCUUGUGAAUUAGAAAAGCUCAAUUCACAAGGUAUUGACGGGAGUACUCA